AUUGUAUAAGCAAUUGCUUUCAUGCUUUAUAGUGAUUCAUUAGAGGAAUCAAUGUCUCACCCUUUCCAUCAACACAUGAGAAACUUGAAUACUGGUUUGACUAUAAUUUUCGGAGGAUUAAAUGCUCUUACAUAUAGAGCAGGACACCACUCCAUAUCAGAUGACUCUACCCAGUAUCAACCUGCCAAAGAGAUUGAUUGGUGACGAUCGGCACGUGAUCCUGUGGCGAGAUUUAGAAAGUUGAUAGAAAGGAAUGGCUGGUGGAAUGACAUUGCUGAGUCUGAGCUUCGAAACAGUUUGAGACAGCAGGUAAACUAUAGUCAUGGGGCUCUAUUCCAUUAUGUUUGCAAGGAUAUGAGUAUUCUCCAUUCAGCCUGCUAAAGACUCCAGCACCUGUAUUCCUACUAUGCUUUUCUUGGCCUGUAGCAUUGAUAUUAGUGUAGUUAAGAUCAAUAUCCCUCCUCAAGUUCUGUGUAUGUACUGCACCAGAUCGGAGUACAGUUAUGUCUAUGUUGCUACUACUAGGUUGAGAAGCAGCCUUAUGUGAUACAUCAUACCCUAAGGAAGUGCGAUUUGAGGCCAAGGAUGCCCAAAUGCGAGAAGCUUCAUUAUCCUGCUGUAAAAUAUUCUUGUGUAAGCUACAUCCUCCCAGGGCUUGCAAAGUAGCAUUAGAGGGCGUGCGCUCUUCAAGAUUCCUGUUAAACUUGAUAUUCCGUGCACUACCAAGCUGGUCAACUGUUUCCUUUUGAUGCCUAUUGUGGACAAGUUGCCCGCACAGCUUCGGGAACACCUAGAAUAUACUUUUAAAGAUGGACAAGCUAUUAGAAUAAGAAUUAUAAUGAUUGCUGAUUUAUGUACCUUCCUUUUCUCCAUACCUAUGUAUCUUCCUUUUCUUUACCUAUGUACAUAUUUGAAUAUUAGCUUGCUUUAACACCUACUUCUUUAAAU